rnacentral:sRNA from 1 species
UUACAACUACUCACAAACAUAGGGGUAUGUUUGAAAUUUGCAUUUUUAUCAUCAGUUUUCAUAAUAUUUUAACUCUAUAACUUGUUCAAUAACAUUCUACACUCUCUACAGCCUCUCUACAAGUGUAUAUUACACAAGUUGAGUGCUCAUAGAGUCAUCAAUGCUCUUCUGUUCACUCAAGAAUGUUGAUGCAGUCUUUAUCAGAUCAUUGAAAUCAGAAUCAUUGAUGAAUUUUGUUACUGAAAAGACUGAUAAGAGAUAGAAGAAAACUGUCACAAUGUCUUUUUCAGUUCUCAAAAAAAUCUGUAACAGAUAUAUUUUGAUUAAUAAUCUAGCACUAUUCUAAAUACAGAUUACAAAUUGAUUAAGAGAAAAAAAAUCAGAAGAAAAAAUCAUACAAAAAAAGUUCUUAUAAAAAAACAAUCAGAGUGAAAAAAUAUCAGAAGUCAUUUCACAGUGAAAUAUGAAGUGAAAGAAUAUUAAAAAUUAUACAGAAGAAUUGUUAGAACUAUAUAAAUAUAAAAUAUAAAAUGAAAGAAAUUAUAUAAAA